rnacentral:rRNA from 1 species
GAUGAACGCUGGCGGCGUGCCUAAUACAUGCAAGUCGAGCGAACAGACGAGGAGCUUGCUCCUCUGACGUUAGCGGCGGACGGGUGAGUAACACGUGGAUAACCUACCUAUAAGACUGGGAUAACUUCGGGAAACCGGAGCUAAUACCGGAUAAUAUAUUGAACCGCAUGGUUCAAUAGUGAAAGACGGUUUUGCUGUCACUUAUAAAUGGAUCCGCGCCGCAUUAGCUAGUUGGUAAGGUAACGGCUUACCAAGGCAACGAUGCGUAGCCGACCUGAGAGGGUGAUCGGCCACACUUGAACUGAGACACGGUCCAGACUCCUACGGGAGGCAGCAGUAGGGAAUCUUCCGCAAUGGGCGAAAGCCUGACGGAGCAACGCCGCGUGAGUGAUGAAGGUCUUCGGAUCGUAAAACUCUGUUAUUAGGGAAGAACAAAUGUGUAAGUAACUAUGCACGUCUUGACGGUACCUAAUCAGAAAGCCACGGCUAACUACGUG